GUGCCAGCCGCCGCGGUAAUACGGAGGGUGCAAGCGUUGUCCGGAUUUAUUGGGUUUAAAGGGUGCGUAGGCGGAUCUUUAAGUCAGUGGUGAAAGCCUGCAGCUUAACUGUAGAAUUGCCAUUGAUACUGGAGGUCUUGAGUACACUAGAGGUAGGCGGAAUUUAUGGUGUAGCGGUGAAAUGCAUAGAUACCAUAAAGAACACCUAUAGCGUAGGCAGCUUACUGGAGUGUAACUGACGCUGAGGCACGAAAGCAUGGGUAGCGAACAGGAUUAGAAACCCCAGUAGUCC
rnacentral:rRNA from 1 species